rnacentral:rRNA from 1 species
UACGUAGGGGGCUAGCGUUGUCCGGAUUUAUUGGGCGUAAAGAGCGUGUAGGCGGCCAUGUAGGUCCGGUGUGAAAACUCGAGGCUUAACCUCGAGAUGUCAUCGGAAACCAUUUGGCUAGAGUCCGGAAGAGGAGAGUGGAAUUCCUGGUGUAGCGGUGAAAUGCGCAGAUAUCAGGAAGAACACCAAUGGCGAAAGCAGCUCUCUGGGGACGGUACUGACGCUGAGACGCGAA